rfam:Aspergillus brasiliensis CBS 101740 unplaced genomic scaffold ASPBRscaffold_9, whole genome shotgun sequence.
GGCAAGGUGGUCGAGUGGUUUAAGACGUAAGACUUGAAUCUGGCUUGGAUUGUUUCAAUCCAUUUCCACAGACGAUAUCUUAUACCUUCGGGUGCGCGUGUUCGAAUCACGUCCUUGUCG